rnacentral:lncRNA from 10 species
GCAGCAUAUAUUAAAGUUGUUUGAGUUGAGAAGGGAUGGAGAGGUUUAUAGCAUUUUUCGUUCUCAAGAAAUACAUUCUAGAACAUUGAGAAAUCGAAUUUGUUGUGGAAUGAAAGAGUGAGUGGAAGCUUUGAAGAGAGGAAAAACAUAAGCAGGGCUCAAUCACUCUUGACACAGGUUCCAGUUUUACACCACAUCCAAGCGGCUCAAGCCAGUGGACGGAAACGAGAACUCAGAGUCAUCUCUCCUGCUUAGCCGACUUGACUGUCUGCUUUCCUGCUGCUUCCUGUAAGGCAAACGUUCGUAUUUGCUUACAAACUUAAAGUGACCCCCACCUUAUUCCCUUAUAUAUUUCUACCUAUUAUGUGCUUUUCUCUCUCUCUCUCUGCAUGACUCUUCAUUUCUGUCUGUGUGGCCUGAGGAUGAAGACAAAGGGCUGCCCUCUUGACGUGUGGUUCCCUCCUUGCCCAGGAUCUGUAAGUAAAAACUUUGAACUUAUUUCCUAUGGUGGUGUGUAUUGAAUUUGCGCCUUCCAUCUGAAGAACCAGGGACUACCCGAGGCAGGAUUUUCUCUGGGAUGCCAGGGAGACCCCAAGGUUUUACUCUCAGACCCACAACGAUGUCCAGGCAUAAACUGGACACUGGUGAGACAGGAGCCAUGAGGCUUUUGGCCAGUAUAAGCAGAUUUCCUAUGUGAGGAACCUCCUGAUUGUGGGUUGGAAAACUUGGUAUUAGG